rnacentral:rRNA from 1 species
CAGCGCCACGAGUGGGAGCCAUUUUUAUUGGGCCUAAAGCGUCCGUAGCUGGUUUAGUAAAUCUUCUGUGAAAUUGUGGGGCUUAACCCUACAGCGUGCAGGAGACACUGCUAGACUCGAGACCGGGAGGAGUCAGAAGUAUUUCUGGGGGAGCGGUAAAAUGCUAUAAUCCCAGGAAGACUACCUGUGGCGAAGGCGUCUGACCAGAACGGUUCUGACAGUGAGGGACGAAAGCUAGGGGAGCAAAACGGAUUAGAGACCCGAGUAGUCC